rnacentral:lncRNA from 1 species
GGAAACCAGAGUGACUGCUGGGGUCUGGAGCCUGUGUCAGACCUGAGGUCCUCUCUGUCUCGAAAUGAAAUAUCUCCAAGUCUUCUGCAUCAGGAGGAUCUCUCUCCAAAUGGGUGGAUUCUCACUUACCCCUCCGCCUCCCCCAGACAAAAAAGAAGCAAACAACAUAACAAGAACACCCCGGACCAGGUGGGAUAUGGAUAACAUCAAACAUUGCACCUCACAGCAUGGCAGCUGAUACAAACACGAGGCUGCGAGUUAACACCAGUGUCAUAAAAAGAAAAAAGAGAUGUUCACAAGCUGAACUCUUGUGUUCACCCAUCUCCUUCAGCAUGAAGCAGAGAGCGGUGUCUCUUGUGGCUUUGUCUCCUUGGGCUCAUUGCUGUGGAAUUUGGCUCUUAUGAUGGGGAGGUGAAUCGCGUCCCAUCGCUCCUUAGAGAUGGCUGUGGUUGGGGUCGGUGUGGAGCGUGCCCAUCACGUGGAAGUCCUCAGUCCCCGGUCUCCCUUCCCC